rnacentral:rRNA from 1 species
GCUGGCGGCAGGCCUAACACAUGCAAGUCGAGCGGUAACAUUUCUAGCUUGCUAGAAGAUGACGAGCGGCGACGGGUGAGUAACGCGUAGAAAUCUACCUAGUAGUGGGGGAUAGCCCAGAGAAAUUUGGAUUAAUACCGCAUACGCCCUACGGGGGAAAGCGGGGGAUCUUCGGACCUCGUACUAUUAGAUGAGUCUGCGUCGGAUUAGCUUGUUGGUGAGGUAAUGGCUCACCAAGGCGACGAUCCGUAGCUGGUCUGAGAGGAUGACCAGCCACACUGGAACUGAGACACGGUCCAGACUCCUACGGGAGGCAGCAGUGGGGAAUAUUGCACAAUGGGCGCAAGCCUGAUGCAGCCAUGCCGCGUGUGUGAAGAAGGCCUUAGGGUUGUAAAGCACUUUCAGCAGUGAGGAAAGGGGUGUCGUUAAUAGCGCCAUCCUGUGACGUUAACUGCAGAAGAAGGACCGGCUAACUCCGUG